UGUCUAGAACAUAGCGUUAAUGCACAAGAUCCCAUUAGAAAUCCACAAUUAAACGCGCUUGGGAUAGAGUAGUAUUGGGAUGGGUGACCACCCAGGAAGUCCAAUUGUUUUACAUGC
rfam:Picea glauca, whole genome shotgun sequence.